AGAGAGUAGUGAUAUGAGCUUCUUCUCCUACAAUCUUAGAAACCUCCGAUCACAGUUCUAGAUAUUUUACAACGGAACAAUGGAGAGCACCGAUUCCUCUGGUGGUCCUCCACCGCCACAACCUAACCUUCCUCCAGGCUUCCGGUUUCACCCAACCGAUGAAGAGCUUGUAGUUCACUACCUCAAACGCAAAGCCGCCUCUGCUCCUUUACCUGUAGCCAUCAUCGCCGAAGUCGAUCUCUAUAAAUUCGAUCCAUGGGAACUUCCCGGUAUGUACAACCUCAUCAUCAUCAUCGUCAACAACUUUUUAUUCUUAGUAUAAUUCAAUUUAUUUGAAUUUGUGAGUUUUUUUAUUUUAUUUUCCCAGAGAUCAUCUAUGUGAUGAUGACGUUAUGAUCUUUUUUUUAAAUUUUAAUAUUGGUUUGUGGAUUCUUUUUGUUGCAGCUAAAGCGUCGUUUGGAGAACAAGAAUGGUACUUCUUCAGUCCUCGAGAUCGGAAGUAUCCAAACGGAGCAAGACCAAACAGAGCGGCGACUUCAGGAUAUUGGAAAGCGACCGGUACAGAUAAACCGGUACUUGCUUCCGACGGUAACCAAAAGGUGGGCGUGAAGAAGGCACUGGUCUUCUACAGUGGUAAACCACCAAAAGGCGUGAAAAGUGAUUGGAUCAUGCAUGAGUAUCGUCUCAUCGAAAACAAACCAAACAAUCGACCUCCUGGUUGUGAUUUCGGCAACAAGAAAAACUCACUCAGAGUAUAUAAUAAAUUCAUAACAUAUAAUGAUUCAACUUCAAAUAAUCUUGAUUCUUGAGUUCUUGAUUUUGGAUUUUUUUUUUUCUUGUGUAGCUUGAUGAUUGGGUGUUAUGUAGAAUCUACAAGAAGAACAACGCAAGUCGACAUGUUGAUAACGAUAAGGAUCAUGAUAUGAUCGAUUACAUUUUCAGGAAGAUUCCUCCGCCGUUAUCAAUGGCUGCUGCUGCUACAGGACUUCACCAUCAUCACCAUAAUGUCUCCAGAUCAAUGAAUUUCUUCCCUGGCAAAUUCUCCGGUGGUGGUUACGGGAUUUUCUCUGACGGAGGUAACACGAGUUUAUACGACGGCGGUGGCAUGAUCAACAACAUCGGUACAGACUCAGUGGAUCACGACAAUAACGCUGACGUCGUUGGUUUGAAUCAUGCGUCGUCUUCAGGUCCGAUGAUGAUGGCGAGUCUGAAACGAGCUCUUCCGGUGCCGUAUUGGCCGGUGGCAGAGGAGGAGCAAGAUGCAUCUCCGAGCAAGAGGUUUCACGGCGGUGGAGGAGGAGGAGAUUGUUCGAACAUGUCUUCUUCGAUGAUGGAAGAGACUCCACCAUUGAUGCAACAACAAGGUGGUGUGUUAGGAGAUGGAUUGUUCAGAACGACGUCGUACCAAUUACCCGGUUUAAAUUGGUACUCUUCUUAAUCAAAUGUGUUUCGCUGCCGGUGUGAAGAAUUUUCCGGU
rnacentral:lncRNA from 1 species